UAAGUAGGUCGUCCUAUCGCUUUUUUAAAGAGGAAAGUCCGGGCACCAAAGAGCAAGCAUAGCGGAUAACAUCCGUCAUUUCCAUUGGAAACAGGACCAGUGCAACAGAAAGAAUGUACAGUUCGGCUGUAGUGAAACCAGGUAAACUCUAUGCGGUGAAAUGUCAUGUAAACCAAAGCUUGAGGGCUGCUCGCUCGAAUUUGGAGGGUAGGCAGAUGGAGGUUUGUAGCAAUGCAAAUCCAAGAUAAAUGAUAGGAGCUUUUUAAGUACAGAACCCGGCUUAUAGACCUACUUUUUGU
rnacentral:RNase_P_RNA from 1 species